rnacentral:tRNA from 1 species
AAGGGUAUAGCUAUAGGUAUUAAGUAACAGACUCUUACUCUGUAGAAGGGCACAGCUCUACCCUUA